CUAGUAAGUUGGGUAAUCGCUCUUUAUUGAUAAAAUAUUGAGAGGAAAGUCCGAACACUCCCGCGUCAAACGCGGAGCAGCCUAGCGGGUAAUGCCCGUCGUCCCCGCCUACCGUCAGGCAGGCGCAAGGAUAGGGAUGCGAACAGUGACGAUGCUCCGACGUAAAGUCGGAGAGUGAAACGGCUAAAUUCCUAGGUGGGUGCAAGAGCAAAUAUCUGGAUGGAGAUGAUUAUGAUCUUCUACCAGUGAAACGGUGGCUCGCUUGACCCCGAGAGUAAUCGAGGGGCUAGAUAAAUGAUUACCGUCCGCUGAUGAAGCGAGAUACAGAAUUCGGCUUAUAGACUUACUAGGACA
rnacentral:RNase_P_RNA from 2 species